UGUUGAAGAUUAAGCCAUGCAUGUGUAAGUAUAAAGACCUAGAAGGAUGAAACUGCGGACGGCUCAUUACAACAGUUAUAGUUUCUUUGGUUAGUAGUAAAAGGAUAACUCUGUUAAUUGUAGAGCUAAUACUUGAGACUAUCCCCUGUUCGCCAGGGCAGGGGCGACUGCACUUGUGCAGUUAUGAAUUAUUCCAUGUUGAAUGCUGGAAUAAGGACAAUUGUAGAAUCCUGAGGAUUACAACAAGUAACCAAUGAGAAUAUCUGACCUAUCAACCAGAAGGUAAGGUAGUGGCUUACCUUGGUUAUCACGGGUAACGAGAAAUAAGGGUUUGACAUCGGAGAGGGAGCCUUCAAAAUGGCUACCACUUCCAAGGAAGGCAGCAGGCGCGAAAAUUACCCACUUGGGACACCCAGAGGUAGUGAAGACAAAUAACUAAAAGGACCCCUUUGGGGUUCUUUUAAGGGAUGAGCUAGACGUUAACACUCUAGCGAAAGCGAUUGGAGGGCAAGUCUGGUGCCAGCAGCCGCGGUAAUUCCAGCUCCAAUAGUGUAUAUUAAAGUUGUUGUGAUUAAAAAGCUCGUAGUUGAAUUUGACAAGAACCCCCGGCCUCUGGGGCAUGCAAGCAUGUCACAGGGCGCCUUCAAUGGUUCUAAACACUCACUGCAGCUCCUCUCCGGAGGACUGCUGUGAUAUUUACUUUGAAUAAAUACGAGUGUUUAAAGCAAAGCAAUAGCUAAUGCAGUAUCAAGCAUGGGAUAAAAACGAGGAGAUUGUUGCCUGCGCACACUGUGCAAGGGCGCAAUGUCUAGAUAAGGAUUAAUAGAAAGAGAUGGGGUGAUUUAUACGGAAAUGGGAGAGGUGAAAAUCCAUGAUCAUUUUAGGAUAAACUGAAGCGAAAGCAUUUCACUUAAAUCUGUUCAUUAAUCAAGAACGAAAGUUAGGGGAUCGAAGACGAUUAGAUACCGUCGUAGUCCUAACUAUAAACGAUGUCAACAAAGGAUUGGAUUGAACCAUAGCCGACCCGGCAACGGGACGGCGCGAUACUUCAGUUCAGGACUUAUAGGGAAACCUUUAGUUAAUGGACUUCAGGGGGAGUAUAGUCGCAAGGCCGAAACUUAAAGGAAUUGACGGAAGGGCACACCAGGAGUGGAGCCUGCGGCUUAAUUUGACUCAACACGGGAAAACUUACCAAGACCAGACAUUAAGAGGAGUGACAGAGUAAGGGAACUUUCAUGAUUUGAUGGAGAGUGGUGCAUGGCCGUUCUUAGUUGGUGGAGUGAUUUGUCAGGUUUAUUCCGAUAACGAACGAGACUUCAAUCUUUAAUUAGAUGGCGCAGCCCUGGUUGCGCUAGCCAGCAAUGGCCCUCAAUCGAGGUCAUCUUAAAGAGACUCUUGCCAAUUUUCCGGACUGCACACCUACCUACGGGAGGCUGCGCAGGCGGAAGAAGGUAAGGGAAGAGAAGCAAUAACAGGUCUGUGAUGCCCUUAGACAUCUUGGGCUGCACGCGUGCUACAAUAGCUAUCAUCCAGAGUACACACACAGUCGAUAGGGAACGAACUCUCUAACGAGGGGCGGUCCAACUAAGACUGAAAACCCAAUCCGAAAGGAGGCGGAAAACUCGUAAGGUAGCUGUAACAGGGAUUAAUGAUUGGAAUUAUUUGUUAUGGAACGAGGAAUUCCUUGUAAAAUUUUGUCACUAACGAAAGUUGAAUACGUCCCUGCCCUUUGUACACACCGCCCGUCGCUCCUACCGAUUGAAUAAAAAGAUGAAGGUUUAGGAGAGUCGACUAUGUCGAAGCAAAUGGAUCUGAAUCUCUUUAUUUAGAGG
rnacentral:rRNA from 1 species